rnacentral:tRNA from 1 species
UCCUGGUUGUCCAGUGGUUAGGACUCUGUGCUUCCACUACAGGGGGUGGGGGUUUGAUCCCUCAUCUGGGA